rnacentral:rRNA from 1 species
ACACAUGCAGUCGAGCGGAUGAAGGAGCUUGCUCCUGGAUUCAGCGGCGGACGGGUGAGUAAUGCCUAGGAAUCUGCCUGGUAGUGGGGGACAACGUUUCGAAAGGAACGCUAAUACCGCAUACGUCCUACGGGAGAAAGCAGGGGACCUUCGGGCCUUGCGCUAUCAGAUGAGCCUAGGUCGGAUUAGCUAGUUGGUGAGGUAAUGGCUCACCAAGGCGACGAUCCGUAACUGGUCUGAGAGGAUGAUCAGUCACACUGGAACUGAGACACGGUCCAGACUCCUACGGGAGGCAGCAGUGGGGAAUAUUGGACAAUGGGCGAAAGCCUGAUCCAGCCAUGCCGCGUGUGUGAAGAAGGUCUUCGGAUUGUAAAGCACUUUAAGUUGGGAGGAAGGGUUGUAGAUUAAUACUCUGCAAUUUUGACGUUACCGACAGAAUAAGCACCGGCUAACUCUGUGCCAGCAGCCGCGGUAAUACAGAGGGUGCAAGCGUUAAUCGGAAUUACUGGGCGUAAAGCGCGCGUAGGUGGUUUGUUAAGUUGGAUGUGAAAUCCCCGGGCUCAACCUGGGAACUGCAUCCAAAACUGGCAAGCUAGAGUAUGGUAGAGGGUGGUGGAAUUUCCUGUGUAGCGGUGAAAUGCGUAGAUAUAGGAAGGAACACCAGUGGCGAAGGCGACCACCUGGACUGAUACUGACACUGAGGUGCGAAAGCGUGGGGAGCAAACAGGAUUA